UAGAACCUACCUUUUACAGAGGAAUAGCCUUUAGAAAUGAAGAUUAAUGCCUCAUAGUAUUGUAGACUGGCAUCAGUUUAUAAUUAAAGAUUUAUCGGUAAAAGAUGGCUAUGCGUCCUAUUAGUUAGUUGGUAAGGUAACGGCUUACCAAGACAGCGAUAGGUAGGGGUCCUGAGAGGGAGAUCCCCCACACUGGUACUGAGACACGGACCAGACUCCUACGGGAGGCAGCAGUGAGGAAUAUUGGACAAUGGAGGAGACUCUGAUCCAGCCAUGCCGCGUGUAGGAAGAAUGCCCUAUGGGUUGUAAACUACUUUUAUACAGGAAGAAACACUGGUAUGUAUACC
rnacentral:rRNA from 1 species